rnacentral:rRNA from 1 species
AACAGGAUUAGAUACCCUGGUAGUCCACGCCGUAAACGAUGUCGACUUGGAGGUUGUGCCCUUGAGGCGUGGCUUCCGGAGCUAACGCGUUAAGUCGACCGCCUGGGGAGUACGGCCGCAAGGUUAAAACUCAAAUGAAUUGACGGGGGCCCGCACAAGCGGUGGAGCAUGUGGUUUAAUUCGAUGCAACGCGAAGAACCUUACCUACUCUUGACAUCCAGAGAACUUAGCAGAGAUGCUUUGGUGCCUUCGGGAACUCUGAGACAGGUGCUGCAUGGCUGUCGUCAGCUCGUGUUGUGAAAUGUUGGGUUAAGUCCCGCAACGAGCGCAACCCUUAUCCUUUGUUGCCAGCGGUUAGGCCGGGAACUCAAAGGAGACUGCCAGUGAUAAACUGGAGGAAGGUGGGGAUGACGUCAAGUCAUCAUGGCCCUUACGAGUAGGGCUACACACGUGCUACAAUGGCGCAUACAAAGAGAAGCGACCUCGCGAGAGCAAGCGGACCUCACAAAGUGCGUCGUAGUCCGGAUUGGAGUCUGCAACUCGACUCCAUGAAGUCGGAAUCGCUAGUAAUCGUGGAUCAGAAUGCCACGGUGAAUACGUUCCCGGGCCUUGUACACACCGCCCGUCACACCAUGGGAGUGGGUUGCAAAAGAAGUAGGUAGCUUAACCUUCGGGAGGGCGCUUACCACUUUGUGAUUCAUGACUGGGGUGAAGUCGUAACAAGGUAACC